GGAGUAUUAAAGGAGGAAUUAAAAAGGAACAAAAAAGAAAAUAUGGUAACAUAUAUCAUUUGUAUCAUAUUAAUUAUCAUUUGUCACUUUUUCCUUAUUCUGGAGGCCCUAAAAUGUUGUUGUUGUACCAAGGAUACCAUUGGAAAGCACAAUCUCCACCUUUUUCAUAGUGUCAAAAACUAUGGUAAAGAACUGACCAUGAAUUAUCAAUAAUGUGCACAGAGACUAAUAAAUUCGAAAUUACACCAUAGAAUAGGAUGAAUACAUUUAUCCAAUACGAAAUAUUAGUAAUAUCAGCAAUGAUGUAGCUAGAACUAAGCGUGUGAUUCUUCAAAUAGUAAGUACUUGAGCCUCUUUAUUCCGCAACCUAAAGUGCAAAAGAAGAUUAUUCCUAACUGUCCUUUUAGAAGCAUAUGAGAUUUCCUCCGAAUCCACAUUCUUUGUGUAUGGCAAUUUGACACACCAUCUUUAUUUUUCACCAUUUGUUGUUGCUCCUCUCUAUCUCUAAUUAAUUGGCCUUAGUUUCUUCUUGCAGCCUGCGCAUUGUCUAAACCUGAAACGUAGUAUAUUUUAUUUGGAUAAAACAAUGAAGUAAACAAACACUGAUGUUAUACAACAGUUAAUUCUGAAAUUUGGGUACGAACAAAGUCCCACUCAAACUUCAAUAAGAAAAACACGUUACAUAAAACAUAAAGAUUUUCCUAAUGAUGUUAAAACAUUUUAAGGAAAAAUUGUGUUGAUUUAGCUAAAAUGAACAAUAUGACACCAUAAUAACAAUAUGACACCAUAUUAAAUAGUGCUUUAGGCUAAAUUAGACCUGUAAUUUUAAGGUCUAUAGGGACAGUGAAAGGCAUGCAACGGCAAGAAUGAGACAAGUAACGAAGGGAUGAUUCUUGAAAUGAACGGAUUUGCUAGAAAUAGUUGAAGGUGGUGUGAAAUACGGGUAGAUGGAAGGAUUAUUAUAAGGCGGUGUUAGAGGCUGCAGAGAG
rnacentral:lncRNA from 1 species